rnacentral:rRNA from 1 species
GACAGAGGCCCCAAGCGUUAGGCGGAAUCACUGGGCUUAAAGCGUGUGUAGGCGGAUCGUUAAGUGUCUUGUGAAAUCCCACGGCUCACCCGUGGAACUGCUGGGCAUACUGGCGAUCUUGGGCCAACUAGGGGCAGUCGGAACAAGCGGUGGAGCGGUGAAAUGCGUAGAUAUCUGGAGGAAUACCGGUGGCGAAGGCGGCAUCCUGGACCGGCAUUGACGCUGAGGAGCGAAAGCUAGGGGAGCAAACGGG